UACGGAGGGUGCGAGCGUUGUCCGGAAUCAUUGGGCGUAAAGGGCGCGUAGGUGGCCCGGUCAGUUCGUGGUGAAAGCGCGGGGCUCAACCCUGCGUCGGCCAUGAAUACUGUCGAGCUGGAGCACUGUAGAGGCAGGUGGAAUUCCGGGUGUAGCGGUGGAAUGCGUAGAGAUCCGGAAGAACACCGGUGGCGAAGGCGGCCUGCUGGGCAGUGGCUGACGCUGAGGCGCGACAGCGUGGGGAGCAAACAGG
rnacentral:rRNA from 1 species